rnacentral:rRNA from 2 species
GGACUACCCGGGUUUCUAAUCCCGUUUGCUCCCCUGGCCUUCGUGUCUCAGUGUCAGGAACUGUCCAGAGACCCGCCUUCGCCACUGGUCUUCCUCAUGAUCUCUACGCAUUUCACUGCUACACCAUGAAUUCCAGUCUCCUCUCCAGUCCUCAAGCACGCCAGUAUCGAAUGCAGUUUCGGAGUUAAGCUCCGAAAUUUCACACCCGACUUAGCGCGCCACCUACACACCCUUUACGCCCAAUGAAUCCGAACAACGCUUGAGACCUCUGUAUUACCGCGGCGGCUGGCAC